rnacentral:rRNA from 1 species
UACGUAGGGGGCUAGCGUUGUCCGGAUUUAUUGGGCGUAAAGAGCUUGUAGGCGGUUUUGUCGCGUCUGCUGUGAAAAUCCGGGGCUCAACCCCGGACUUGCAGUGGGUACGGGCAGACUAGAGUGUGGUAGGGGAGACUGGAAUUCCCGGUGUAGUGGUGAAAUGCGUAGAUAUCGGGAGGAACACCAGUGGCGAAGGCGACUACCUGGCCUGUUCUUGACGCUGAGGCGCGAAAGCUAGGGGAGCAAACGGG